rnacentral:lncRNA from 1 species
CUGAUGUGGUCUGCAGGUCUGAGCUGAGUGCCUGUCAUGUGGCUUCUACCCGUGGGUGCUUUCCUGAGGAUGUUUCUCCACACAGACGUUGCUUCUCUUUUACUCUCAGACUUUUUAUUAGUCAGACUGCUGCAUCUGACCGCCUUCUCGGAGAUGUGGCCAUAUUCAGCCCUAAGGAGGUCCCCAUCAGUUCCGAGUUGAUGUCUGGAAGAACCAUAAAAGUAAGAAGAGAGCCUGAAGGACACGACUUGGACUCACUUUUCCAAGAGCCCUUCACCCAGAAGGCAGAAUUGCCUUUUCAGUCCUGCUUACACGAGCAUCCAAGCUGCGUCCUCCUGCAGCUCUGCAAGGAAUCACACCAAAAUCACGGGGAAGCACGAUGAGUCACACGCGGGGUGCAAAGUCACCCAAAGUGCCUGAGACGAGCACAUGAGUGGGAUGGGAGUCAGCCCUGAAAUGAGGGGCGACAAAUGUUGCAAGAACACGACGAGCGUGAGAGCAGCCAUAUGGGAUCAGACCAAUGGUCUGCCUACAACAUGGCCAGAAGCGACGUCUGGAAUAUGGCAACCUUCUCCCCUGGUGCUCUUCCAGUGCUUGGGAGUCAUGGGCAAGCAUGUCCAAAGACUACACAAGCCCACCCUGGCUCCUGGGGUUUGCUGACUCUGAGGUCUGUUGCAGCAUCCAUGUUGCAUCGCCACUUGAACCAGGCGCCGAGGCUUAUGGAGAUGAAGUCAGUCGCAGAGGUGACCUGGGGACACGUGAAUCACCUCGAAGCAGCCCUGGACUUUUGCCUCAUGUCUAUACCAGGCCUUAUCGCCACCUGCUUGCUUCCUCUUUCUCCUGUACCUGCAGGGACACAAAGCAGCCUCUGGAAGGCGUGGGCAAGGGGAAAUGUGUUUCCAGAGAAAGAUGAGGUUUGCUCAGUUCCCAUAAGGUUGCUAGACACAAGGCUGUGUUACAGCUAGUCGAAACAACUGUAGGCCCAGAGGAAUUACAUUGUUUUCUUCCCAAAUAAGUCAAUACCAGACCAAAAUAUUAACAUUUUCCAGAAUAGCUAUCUUUCUCCUAAAAACAUGCCUCUGAAAAGACCUCAUUUUGGUAUUUCAAGUCCAAAGGAAAUAUUUUCAAGUUGCUG